GACUGGUUUUGUUGGCCAAAUUCCAUUAUUUAGGUAGUCGCUGAUUUUAAUUUAUUUAUUAGAAAUAUAAUUUUUUUUCAUAUUUAUAAAUACAUCUGAUCUGAACAGAAUUGUAGGCCCUCCCAUUGAAUGAUCAAACCCGAAUUUUUCAGGAUGUUGUGCCAACAUGGAAAAUUGAAUAGCUAUAUAUACAUAAAACUGAAAAAAAAAAUUAUGCGUGACUGUGAGCCACUGUUACAUAUAAAAUUGUUAGGCUGGCUGGUGUCUUUCAAUUUGUCAAUUUCUUUUGCUUCUAUAGUUGGUAAUUGGUAUUUCCAAAUUCCAGACUUCCGGUGACAAUGUAGUGGGGUGGAUUUCAGGAUUUGUAUGAGGAUUUUCCAAUUUUUAUAUUGUUAUUUAAUAUUUAUAUUUCUUAAUGAUCUUCUAGGAUGUUGUUUUUUGAUUUAUUUUGAUUCACCUGUUAUCUCUUCGAUAAUUGCUCUACAAGAGGCACGUAACACAGUUUAGAUCAAGUUUGUGAGUUGUGGCUAAUGGGUCUUGGUGCCUUAGGUAGUCUAAAUCGUAUAAAUAGGUUAUAGGUACAUGUUGAGGAGGACGAAACGGGGGUGAAUUACUAGAUUUUAGAUAAGAUCUCUUUUUUACUUUUCACAAUGAGUACUCAAGGUCAUUUUUACAGUUUGACACUUGAAGAUGAAGUUCACAUUAGUUGCCACUAUUUGGAAUGGUAAUUUUUCACGUUUUAGAAGGCAAAUCUCUUGGGUUAUGAGAGAAGUUUUAUUUUGGAACAAUUCUGCACGUACAAAAUUGUUUAUGCAGAAGAAAAACAAGGUACUCACAUGGGUUUAAAGUUUUCUUUUAAAUAUAAAAGUGUUAAUUAUUUAAAUAUUUAAAUAUUAUUACACUUGUAGAAUAAAAUAUUAUGUUGAAAGGCCUCGUAAUAAUUAAUCGCCUAGGACCUCUAAAUUCUCGAGGUCAACACUGUUUAUCUUCUCUAGAAAAACCAUCAAUUUUGGGUCUAUAUUGUUCAAAUAAAAUGCUUAAUCAGUUGAAUGCCCGAAAAAUAUAGUGUGGGAUACUGGACUGCAUGGGAAAGGCUGGCUAGCACGUUGAAAUUUUCCUUUGACCUUGAAAUUUUCUUUCCAUUUUUUUCACCAAUAUUGGCAGCCGCAAUCCUUUUGUUCGUAACUCCCUUUUGGAGUUGGACAUGAUUCGGUUUGAGAAUCGAAUCUGACCCAAAAUUUUAGAGUAUUUAAUAAGUGGAACUGUUGGCUCCAAAUUUAAUUAUGAAACUAUUCAGGUUCAGUUUGGUUUCAUUUGAUUUUCGGGUUACGUACUAUAAUUAAAUUUUUCUAAAAUUUACAAAACUACAUUAAUUCAACUAAUUAAAUAUUCAAUUUUAACUCUUACAAAAUAAUAUAGUUCAAUCUUAUUUGUCUUUUGCAUCUUUCUUUAUUGAGUUCUUCAUAGAUUUGAUUGUUAAAAUCACAAGAAGAGAAAGAUAGCGAGUUCACAAUAAUUAAGAGAAAUGCUAUCAAGUUUCAAUUCGAUUUCUCCAUAACAGUAAAACAACACUAUUAUAGAAUAACAAAUUUUGAUCAAAUUUAAGUCAAUUUGAUUAAGUUGGAAUUGGACUGAAAAUUAGAAAUAGAAAAAUCAUAUUUUUAAGUUUGAGCUAAAUUAACUAGUUAGCAAAUUUAUUUAGAAAAAAUAAAAGAAUUUGCCUUAUUUAAAAUAAAUAAAUUUAAAAAAGUAGGGUGAUUCGAUUUUUAUUCGGUUCUUUAGUUUGAAACAAGUCAAUUCUCUAUUCAAACACCCAUUCAGGUAUUUAACUUAAGAAGAACUACUCGUUCGGUUCAGUUCGAGACUAAUCCAGUUCGAUCGGUUCAAUUAGGGAGUUUUGUCCAGCCCAACCCUCUUUGCUGGAUAACACCUUCAAUUUUCCAUUUUCUUUAGAAAAUUUGAUCAAUUGUCUUUCACGUAUAGCGUUUAUGGUGAACACAUCCUCAAACUAUACACGAGAAGUUUUAAUCUCCAACAUCUAUCAAGUGUCAAUGAGAAUGAGCUUUUUGAUGGUAAUGAAUGUUUUAGUGGCCAAAAUUAUGUAAAAAGUCCUUAACGGCUCUUCGUCCUCGUAAUAAAUUUUUUUGACUCUGACUCUGCCACAACCCAUAGUAUAUUUAGCUAAGCUUGAAAGGUUUACUUAUUAGUAGAUGAGAAAUUUAUUUACGUUCUAUUUUGUACAAUUACAUAUGAAUUACUUCAAAAUAAUUAUUUUUUGUCCCUAAAGUAAGAAAAUAACUUAUCUAAACAUGUCUAGGAUCAGAUGUUAGCAAUAACUUUUACUUACUGAUUUUCCAAACAUGCUUUGCACAUUAUAUGACACGACAAAAGUUUUCAUCCAAAAUUAUUUUACCUCUCUCGUAAAUUGACGGGUGCACAAUAAAAGAUCCUACAAAUAUAUCUUAAGAAAUUAAUAAAUUAUAUAUGCCUGUAAAAUGUACAUAAAUGAGUUACAAUGUAGAAGCUUAGAUAGAGAUGCUCUCAAACUCUAGUAAGAGAAACACUCACUAGAGUUUUCUCAUGCAUUGUGGGCUCAUUCUUCCUUGUCUGAAUUUACUUUCCUUGGCAUUUUUGAAUUUAGAAUUGCAGAUUUUAUUAAAAUCUAUUCAGAUUCAUAAAUUUUUUAGUUUUGAGGAUUUCAAGUUCUUGGAGCCUAAAUUUCGCCAAAAUGACAGGUUUUCUUGGGUGUUUUGAAACUUUCACUUUGGUCAGAUUCAUGCAUCAUCCGUCCAGAAAAAUCAGAGCUUUGCUCAUCCUUCUAUUUAGAUGUUCAAGUUUUCUUUGUCUCAUCAGAAGACUUGAUAAGAGUAGCUUCUUGGAGCUUCUCUUUCUUUAAAAAUUCUUAGAAGUAUUGAAGACCGUCCACGGGAUCGGGUAUUAUUAUUUGUGUAAUUUCAAAGUUGCAUGCUUUGUUAAAGCUCCAGUAGCACUUCAGUUUGGCCAGUUUGUUCAAAAGAAAGGGACAAUUCAAUUUUCGUUGAUUUGGGCUAGCAGCAAGUUUAGACUCCUUACAGAUCAGCUGCCACUGCAACUCAUUCCAGGUAGGUACUCAUUUCACCAUCCAGCUACCUGCUUAUUGGACUCUCUUCAUUUGUUGGCAAUGUUUUGGUUGUUCAUCCGGCUAGCAUAUUGUUGGUAUUGCUUUUCAAAAUUCAUGGUGUUCUUGGCAUUUUGAUAUCGUGCAAAUUUUAAUCUUAUUUUGAUUUCCCAAGUUUUGGCCAAGCCGUUUAUUACUUGUUUGGACAAUUUAGUCAAAUUUCUUUUGAUAAUUUGAAUUAGUCAAAUAGAUCACGCAGUAUUUCAGCAAGGAAUAUGAUGUUUGUCCAGGCUUAAAGACAGUGAAGAAAAAGCAGACUGAUUUGGCGGUAAAUGAUUUGGUGUUUGUUGUUUUUAUUUUUCAAAUAGUCCAAUCAUGUGUUGACACGUGUGUAUCCUGUUUUUGAACCUGUUUGUGUAGCAUAAUUUUUCAACAAUGUUAUCUACUUUGUGCAGUAUUUGGUUCCCCAAAGUGGAAAAUCUUUUUUCAAAUGUUUGUACUUGGCUGGCCAAAAUUCAAAAUAUUUCCCAAACAAACUACUUGCAGUAUUUUUCAUUGUUGAUUGCUUUUGCAGUAAUAUAUUUUCCCGUUUUGGCAUAAAAUUCAAAAUUCAAACUUUUUUGAACUUUUUUAGCCAAAUUUAAACUCUAGCUUGAUUAGGCAGUGAUUUAGUCCCACAUGCAACCAAUAUAUUGAAUUCAUCUUGUUAGUUAAGGGUUAAUAAUUCAAAUAGUCACUGAAUUUUGUAAAAAGUUUUCACUGGGUCACUGAACUUUAAAAAUCACCCAAGUCGUCACUGAACUUUGCAAAAGGUUUACAUGGAGUCAUUAAACUUCAAAAAUCACUCAAUUUAUCACUAAACUUGUCAAAAGACUUCUAUGGGGUCACUGAACAUUGCAAAAACUUUCCUAGGAGUCACUUGGGAAAGUUCUUGCAGAGUUCAGUGAUGCAUGAGAUAAUUUUUAAAGUUUAGUGACACCGUGAAAACCUUUUGCAAAGUUCAGUGACCCCGUGGAAACUUUUUACAAAGUUCAGUUAGUCUGUGAAAACCUUUUGUAAAAUUCAGUGAUAACUUAAGUGAUUUUUAAAGUUCAGUAAUCAUUUCGGCUACUAAUUUGUUAGCUAGCAGCUUGCCGCCCAGUUGCUUAGGUUUUCAGUUUAAUGGCUGAAUUUGUCAGCCAUUAAAGAUUUGCUAGAUUAAUUAAGGUUUUCAAGCAGCUUGGUUGUCCAGCUACUUGAAUUAUGGUAACAGCAAAUGAGGCCUAUUUUGUCCAGCUAUCAUGGUUUUUAAUGCAACCUGCCUUGAAUUCCAGUCAAAGGUCUUCAAGGCAACUGUUUCGUCCACCUGGAUGCAUUAUAUUCCGGUUGCCUGCUUGUUGAAAGUCAAGUGUGAUGAAACUUUAAUUUUGACUGUAUAUUGAUAAAAUGAAUUACAAUACAACAACGAUUUUUUUAACAGAAGAAUCAUAUGCUCUAUAUAUACAAAGAUUGCAAAACUAUUUUAGGAAGGCAAUAUUGUUCUAGGGAAGCUAGCUAGAAUUGUGGUCGUGAGAUUGGUAACUGAUUUAGGGCUUAUUCUUGUGAUUGACUGGCUGCUACACCUUUGAAUCUCGCCUAAUUAUUUUUGUUUUCAUCUGUUGCUUAAUUUAUGACAUAAUCUCUAAUACGCCCCAGCAAAAUAGGGCUGCCAUCCGCAAGUCCAAUCUGGGUUCUUAGUUGGUCCAUUCGUUGCCUUGACGACUUUGUGAGAAGAUGUGUAAGCUGAUCUUGGAUAUUUACAUGACGAACUUUCAACAUACCUUUUUGAACUAUACCUCUAACAAAAUGCAGGUCUAUUUGAAUAUACUUCAUUCGGGAAUGUUGAACAGGUUUAAGGCUGAGUUGUGUUGCACCCAAGUGGCCACAAAGCAAUUUUGGUGGGGAAGAAAUGUUUAAGCCGAGUUCCUAAAACAGCGACAAUAACCAAACAGUUUCUGAUGCUGCAGUUACAAGAGCUUUAUACUCCGCUUCAGUAGAUGAUCUUGCAAUGGUCCCUUGUUUUUUUUUUUUAGCUCCAAGAGAUCAAAGUUUGACCGAGAAAGCAUAUGUAGACAGAUGUGGAACUUUUAUCAUCAUAGUUUUCGGCCCACUCAAUUACCAAACAUCCAGUUCUACCCACCAUUGAACCAAGUUGUGUGAGUCACACCUUCUGUGAUCCUAAAUAGAGAAGUGCCAUGCCUGAUAAGCUCACAGCUCUAAUGAGACACAGCAUAUGCGAAUUAGCUCUCCCACCACCUCACUGCAAACCAGUGGGUUGCAAAUGGGAAACAAUGAUGAUAAAAGUUCUACAUCUGCUUUCUUGGUCAAAAUUCGAUCUCGUGGAGCUAAAAAAACAAUGGGUCAUUGCAAGAUCAUGUACUAGAGCGGAGUAUAGAGCUCUUGCAACUAUAGCAUCAGAAACCAUUUGGUUAUUGUCGCUAUUUUAGGAACUUGGCUUAAACAUUUCUUCCCCACCAAAAUUGCUGUGUGAUAACUUCGGUGCAACACAACUCAGCCUUAACCCUGUUCGACAAUCCCAGAUAAAGUAUAUUCAAAUAGACUUGCAUUUUGUUAGAGAUAUAGUUUAAAAAUGUAUGCUGAAAGUUCAUAAUAUAAAUACCCAAGAUCAGCUUGCAGAUCUUCUCACAAAGCCAUUGUCAAGGCAACAAACCAACCAACUAAUAACCAAGAUUGGACUUGUGGUCAGACCAAAAAAAGACUGGAUGGCAACCCUAUCUUGCGGGGAUGUAUUAGAGAUCAUGCCACAAAUCAAGCAACAGAUCACAACAAAAAUAAUUAGAUGAGAUUUAUGGGUGUAACAGCCAGUUAAUCACAAGAAUCAAGACUUGUAUCAAUCAUCAAUGUCACAGCCACAAUUCUAGCUAGCUUCCCUAGAACAAUAUUGCCUUCUUAGAAUAGUUUUACAAUCUUUGUAUAUAUAUAGCAUAUGAUUCUUCUGUAAAAAAAAUAUUGCUGUGUUGUAAUUCAUUUUAUCAAUAUAUAGUCAAGAUUAAAGUUUCAUCAUAGUAUCGGAGAUCAUGCCACCAAUAAAGCAAUAAAUCACAACAAAAAUAAUUAUAUGAGAUUCAAGGGUGUAACAGUCCGUCAAUCACAAUAAUCAAGCCCUGCAUCAGUAACAAAUCUCACGGAAAUCGGACCCCAAGUCAUGGAGAAUGUAGAGAGUGAGAUCAUUAUUAGAGAUUGGAUUAUCAAUUAGGGCAAUUUCGUCUAUAAGUGACUUUACCAUAUGAAGGUAUUCUUGAAUGGUUUUGUUGUGUCUUUCUUAAUCAAAGUGAGUUCUUCUUUGAGUUGCAUAGCUCUGGUGUGAGACUUACUUUCGUACAUACUGUGUAACUUUUGCCAUGAUUCCUUUGAAGUUUUGGCAGCCGAGAUAAAUGAGGUGAUUAUGGUGGUGGUAGAAGCUAGGAUGGCACUAAGGAUCGGUUUAUCCUGUCUGACCUAGUGGGCUUUUUGAAGAGAUGAUUCAUGAUUGGCAUUGGGUACAGGAUAGGGGUGAUCACCAGUGACAUAAUCUAGAAGAUUAUAUUCGAUUAGAAGGGCCUCAAUUGUGAACGCUACUAAGGAAAAGUGGAAGGGGAGAGCUUGUCAUUUAGUUGAGCGCAGAUGUUUAGGGCAAUCAGGGGGUUUUGAUUGGGGAUGGUGGUGUUGAGAUUGCAAUGUCGGAAGUGAGGAUCGAAUUCUCGUUGGAGGGGACUGCUCCUGAUAUCAUGAUGGAACUUUAAUCUUAAAUGUAUAUCAACAAAUGAAUUACAAUAUAGCAUUUAAUUUUUUACAGAAGAAACAUUUGCUCUAUAUAUUCAAAGAUUGCAAAACUAUUUUAGGAAGGCAAUAUUGUUCUAGAGAAGUUAGUUAGAAUUGUGGCUGUGAGAUUGGUGACUGAUGCGGGGCUUGAUUCUUGUGAUUGAUUGGAUGUUAUACUCUUGAAUCUCACCUAAUUAUUUUUGUUGUAAUCUAUUUCUUGAUUUGUGGCACGAUCUCUAAUAAGGUGGCCACUUCAGAUUGUUGUCCAAGAGGAUUUGAUUCCGUCAAUAGUUUGGUACUUUAGAUUCUAGAUUAGCCACGUUUGUAAUGUUUUGAUUUAAAUUGUCACUUGGUUUGGAUUACUAGAUCGUUGGAUCUUUGUAAUGUUUUACUUUGAAUGCCCGGGUAUGCUUGGA
rnacentral:lncRNA from 1 species